GGCCGGGAACUCAAAGGAGACUGCCAGUGAUAAACUGGAGGAAGGUGGGGAUGACGUCAAGUCAUCAUGGCCCUUACGACCAGGGCUACACACGUGCUACAAUGGCAUAUACAAAGAGAAGCGACCUCGCGAGAGCAAGCGGACCUCAUAAAGUAUGUCGUAGUCCGGAUUGGAGUCUGCAACUCGACUCCAUGAAGUCGGAAUCGCUAGUAAUCGUAGAUCAGAAUGCUACGGUGAAUACGUUCCCGGGCCUUGUACACACCGCCCGUCACACCAUGGGAGUGGGUUGCAAAAGAAGUAGGUAGCUUAACCUUCGGGAGGGCGCUUACCACUUUGUGAUUCAUGACUGGGGUGAAGUCGUAACAAGGUAACCGUAGGGGAACCUGCGGUUGGAUCACCUCCUUACCUUAAAGA
rnacentral:rRNA from 1 species